UGGCUCAGGACGAACGCUGGCGGCGUGCUUAACACAUGCAAGUCGAACGGUAAGGCCCCUUCGGGGGUACACGAGUGGCGAACGGGUGAGUAACACGUGGGUGAUCUGCCCUGCACUCUGGGAUAAGCCUGGGAAACUGGGUCUAAUACCGGAUAUGAGCUCCUGUCGCAUGGCGGGGGUUGGAAAGGUUUACUGGUGCAGGAUGGGCCCGCGGCCUAUCAGCUUGUUGGUGGGGUAAUGGCCUACCAAGGCGACGACGGGUAGCCGGCCUGAGAGGGCGACCGGCCACACUGGGACUGAGACACGGCCCAGACUCCUACGGGAGGCAGCAGUGGGGAAUAUUGCACAAUGGGCGAAAGCCUGAUGCAGCGACGCCGCGUGAGGGAUGACGGCCUUCGGGUUGUAAACCUCUUUCAGCAGGGACGAAGCGAGAGUGACGGUACCUGCAGAAGAAGCACCGGCCAACUACGUGCCAGCAGCCGCGGUAAUACGUAGGGUGCGAGCGUUGUCCGGAAUUACUGGGCGUAAAGAGCUCGUAGGCGGUUUGUCGCGUCGUCCGUGAAAACUUGGGGCUCAACCCCAAGCUUGCGGGCGAUACGGGCAGACUUGAGUACUGCAGGGGAGACUGGAAUUCCUGGUGUAGCGGUGAAAUGCGCAGAUAUCAGGAGGAACACCGGUGGCGAAGGCGGGUCUCUGGGCAGUAACUGACGCUGAGGAGCGAAAGCGUGGGUAGCGAACAGGAUUAGAUACCCUGGUAGUCCACGCCGUAAACGGUGGGCGCUAGAUGUGGUUUCCUUCCCACGGAAUCCGUGCGGGAGCUAACGCAUAAAGCGCCCCGCCUGGGGAGUAGGGCCGCAAGGCUAGAACUCGAAGGAAUUGACGGGGGGCCCGCACAAGCGGCGGAGCAUGUGGAUUAAUUCGAGGCAACGCGAAGAACCUUACCUGGGUUUGACAUAUACCGGAAAGCCGUAGAGAUACGGCCCCCCUUGUGGUCGGUAUACAGGUGGCGCAUGGGUGUCGUCAGCUCGUGUCGUGAGAUGUUGGGUUAAGUCCCGCAACGAGCGCAACCCUUGUCCUGUGUUGCCAGCGCGUAAUGGCGGGGACUCGCAGGAGACUGCCGGGGUCAACUCGGAGGAAGGUGGGGAGGACGUCAAGUCAUCAUGCCCCUUAUGUCCAGGGCUUCACACAUGCUACAAUGGCCGGUACAGAGGGCAGCGAUACCGUGAGGUGGAGCGAAUCCCUUAAAGCCGGUCUCAGUUCGGAUCGGGGUCUGCAACUCGACCCCGCGAAGUCGGAGUCGCUAGUAAUCGCAGAUCAGCAACGCUGCGGGGAAUACGUUACCGGGCCUUGCACACACCGCCGGUCA
rnacentral:rRNA from 1 species